GUUCGAUCAUGGCCUGAUUGAACGCUGGCGGGAUGCUUUACAUACAAGUCGAACGGGCAGCACGGACUUCGGUCUGGUGGCGAGUGCGAACGCGAGUAAUGUAUCGGAACGUGCCUAGUAGCGGGGGAUAACUACGCCAGGCGCAGCUAAUAAUGCGGCAAUAUUGAAGCCCUUCGGGGGAAAGCGGGGACCUUUCGGGCCUCGCACUAUUAGAGCGGCCGAUAUCGGAUUAGGCUAGUUGGUGGGGUAACGGCUCACCAAGGCGACGAUCCGUAGCUGGUUUGAGAGGACGACCAGCCACACUGGGACUGAGACACGGCCCAGACUCCUACGGAGUGCAGCAGUGGGAAUUUUGGACAAUGGGGGAAAUCCUGAUCCAGCCAUCUCCGCGUGUGCGAUGAAGGCCUUCAAGCCAAAAGUAACUUUGGCAGAAAGAAACGGCACGAUAAUGUUCUCGUGCAACUGACGGUACCUUGCAGAAUAAGCACCGGCUAAUCACGUGCCAGCAGCCGCGGUAAUACGUAGGUGCCGUUAAUCGCUGAUUAAGCAAAAGCGCGUAGGCGGUUCGGAAAGAAAGAUGUGAAAUCCCGUAUUUAACUUUUGGAACUGUAUUUUUUUAAUCAUCGAGCGAGUGUGUCAGAGUGGAGGUGGAAUUCCGGCGUAGCAGUGAAAUGCGUAGAUAUGCGGAGUGAACACCGAUGGCGAAGGCAGCCUCUGGGAGUAGUAAUGUUCACGACGUCAUGCACGAAAGGUAUAAACAGAUUAGAUACCCUGCAGUUCAUACGCCCUAAACGAUGUCAACUAGCUGUUGGGGCCUUCGGGCUCGGUAGCGCAGCUAACGCGUGAAGUUGACCGCCUGGGGAGUACGGUCGCAAGAUUAAAACCUGUGCGAGCCUUUCAAUGGGGACCCGCACAAGCGGUGGAUGAUGUGGACGAAUUCCGAUGCAACGCGAAAAACCUUACUCUACCUUGACAUGUCUGGAAUCCUGAAGAGAUUUGGGAGUGCUCGCAAGAGAACCGGAACACAGGUGUUGCAUGGCUGUCGUCAGCUCGUGUCGAGAUGUUGGGUUAAGUCCCGCAACGAGCGCAACCCUUGUCAUUAGUUGCUACGAAAGGGCACUUAAUGGGAGACUGCCGGUGACAAACCGAGGAAGGUGGGAUGACGUCAAGUCCUCAUGGCCCUUAUGGGUAGGGCUUCACACGUCAUACAAUGGUCGGGACAGAGGGUCGCCAAUCCCGCGAGGGGGAGCCAAUCCAGAAACCCGAUCGGGGUCCGAUCGCAGUCUGCAACUCGACUGCGUGAAGUCGGAAUCGCUAGUAAUCGCGGAUCAGCAUGUCGCGGUGAAUACGCCCCGGUCUUGUACACACCGCCCGUCACACCAUGGGAGUGGGUUUUACCAGAAGCGGUUGGCCCAACCGUAUGAGGGCGAUUACCAUGGUAGGAUUCAUGACUUUGGGUGAAGUCGUAAUGAAGGUAG
rnacentral:rRNA from 1 species